UACGUAGGUCCCGAGCGUUGUCCGGAUUUAUUGGGCGUAAAGCGAGCGCAGGUGGAUUAUUAAGUCUGGUGUAAAAGGCAGUGGCUCAACCAUUGUAUGCAUUGGAAACUGGUAGACUUGAGUGCAGGAGAGGAGAGUGGAAUUCCAUGUGUAGCGGUGAAAUGCGUAGAUAUAUGGAGGAACCCCGGUGGCGAAAGCGGCUCUCUGGCCUGUAACUGACACUGAGGCUCGAAAGCGUGGGGAGCAAACAGG
rnacentral:rRNA from 1 species